UUUACGGAGAGUUUGAUCCUGGCUCAGGACGAACGCUGGCGGCGUGCUUAACACAUGCAAGUCGAACGGUGACCCUGGAGCUUGCUCCGGGCGAUCAGUGGCGAACGGGUGAGUAACACGUGAGUAACCUGCCCUAGACUCUGGGAUAAGCCCGGGAAACUGGGUCUAAUACCGGAUACGAGACGAGAAGGCAUCUUCAUCGUCUGGAAAGAAUUUCGGUCUAGGAUGGACUCGCGGCCUAUCAGCUUGUUGGUGAGGUAAUGGCUCACCAAGGCGACGACGGGUAGCCGGCCUGAGAGGGCGACCGGCCACACUGGAACUGAGACACGGUCCAGACUCCUACGGGAGGCAGCAGUGGGGAAUAU
rnacentral:rRNA from 1 species